CUAGUAUUUCCUCCGUCCCGAAAUACCGAAAUACUUGUCGGGAAAUGCAUAAAAAUGGAUGUAUUUAGAACUAAAAUACGUCUAGAUACAUUCAUUUCCCCGACAAGUAUUUUCGGACGGAGGGAGUAUCAU
rfam:Triticum urartu cultivar G1812 contig1224292, whole genome shotgun sequence.